AUUGGGACUGAGAUACGGCCCAGACUCCUACGGGAGGCAGCAGUGGGGAAUAUUGCACAAUGGGCGCAAGCCUGAUGCAGCGACGCCGCGUGCGGGAUGACGGCCUUCGGGUUGUAAACCGCUUUUGACUGGGAGCAAGCCCUUCGGGGUGAGUGUACCUUUCGAAUAAGCACCGGCUAACUACGUGCCAGCAGCCGCGGUAAUACGUAGGGUGCAAGCGUUAUCCGGAAUUAUUGGGCGUAAAGGGCUCGUAGGCGGUUCGUCGCGUCCGGUGUGAAAGUCCAUCGCUUAACGGUGGAUCCGCGCCGGGUACGGGCGGGCUUGAGUGCGGUAGGGGAGACUGGAAUUCCCGGUGUAACGGUGGAAUGUGUAGAUAUCGGGAAGAACACCAAUGGCGAAGGCAGGUCUCUGGGCCGUCACUGACGCUGAGGAGCGAAAGCGUGGGGAGCGAACAGGAUUAGAUACCCUGGUAGUCCACGCCGUAAACGGUGGAUGCUGGAUGUGGGGACCAUUCCACGGUCUCCGUGUCGGAGCCAACGCGUUAAGCAUCCCGCCUGGGGAGUACGGCCGCAAGGCUAAAACUCAAAGAAAUUGACGGGGGCCCGCACAAGCGGCGGAGCAUGCGGAUUAAUUCGAUGCAACGCGAAGAACCUUACCUGGGCUUGACAUGUUCCCGACAGCCGUAGAGAUACGGUCUCCCUUCGGGGCGGGUUCACAGGUGGUGCAUGGUCGUCGUCAGCUCGUGUCGUGAGAUGUUGGGUUAAGUCCCGCAACGAGCGCAACCCUCGCCCUGUGUUGCCAGCACGUCGUGGUGGGAACUCACGGGGGACCGCCGGGGUCAACUCGGAGGAAGGUGGGGAUGACGUCAGAUCAUCAUGCCCCUUACGUCCAGGGCUUCACGCAUGCUACAAUGGCCGGUACAACGGGAUGCGACACCGCGAGGUGGAGCGGAUCCCUUAAAACCGGUCUCAGUUCGGAUUGGAGUCUGCAACCCGACUCCAUGAAGGCGGAGUCGCUAGUAAUCGCGGAUCAGCAACGCCGCGGUGAAUGCGUUCCCGGGCCUUGUACACACCGCCCGUCAAGUCAUGAAAGUGGGUAGCACCCGAAGCCGGUGGCCCAACCUUUUUGGGGGGAGCCGUCUAAGGUGAGACUCGUGAUUGGGACUAAGUCGUAACAAGGUAGCCGUACCGGAAGGUGCGGCUG
rnacentral:rRNA from 1 species